UACUUUUCCUGCCCUACUAGAAAGCUCAAUUUCUGGAGUGAAUUAUUACUAGGAACAAGGACGAUUAAAAUACUGGUUGAAUUAUAGCCUUGUCAAGAGCUUAGUCCAAGUUCCAAUCAUUAUAAAAUGAGUUAGAGUUGAACCUGCUGAAGGCUUCUUUGAGUUCUUCAUUUUCUAAAUAAGUUUUAAAGACAAAAACUAAAAAAGCCAAAGAAGUUGGGGUUCUGUACUCAAGUGUACAAACCCAAUUACAUUAAAACCAACUGUAAAAGCACAGAAUUGUAGUUCACAGAAGAAAGGUUCCAGGAGGGGAGGCUUGGAGAUUUGUAGUGUUUUGAUUAUCAAAGAAACGCAGCCCACAGGACCAUUAGCUUCUUUGUUAAUCAAAACACUACAAAUAUAUAUCUAUAGAUAUAUAAAAUUUAGUUGUACAUGGACAGGUACCUUUAUUAUUUAUUUAUCUUAUUGAGGAUUGAACUCAGUGCUUCACAUGUGCUAGGCAAGCACUCAUCCACUGAGCUAUAGCCCCAGCCCCCAGGUAUAGACUCUUGAUGGAGGAAGAAAGCUAAUAGCUCAAACACCUGCCUGCAAGUCAGACUGAGCCUGGUACGGAUGCCUGACUUACAAGGCUAGCUAUAUAAAAUGUUUCCAGAAUCAAAUAGCAAGGAUGAUGGAAGAGCCUGGGGCCAUUAUCUGAACAACAUUUGAAGUAGGGAAUCAUUAGCCUGGAUUGUCCAGUUAGCAUUCAUGAGGUCAGUAUUUCUUUUUGGUGGCCAAGGUGAUUUACUCAUUAGACAUAUUCCUUAGGAUCUUUUCUAAGGCCUGGAGGAUUUCUGAGUCUGUGCUUACAGAAGGGUAUGUGGACAGAUAGUGGCACAGUCUUAGCUGGAAUCAUGGUUUAUCUUCCUGAUGCAGACUCUUUCCGUCCCAUAGAACUGAUACUGAAAUCUUUCUGGGAUUUUUUAAGACAGAAAACAUGAAAAUCCCCUUCUUGAAACCAGAUAU
rnacentral:lncRNA from 1 species